CCCUCGGUCGUCUAGUUGGUUUAUGGCGUCCGACUGUAACGUCAGUAGAAAUCGGAAUGUCGCGUGUUCGACUCACGCCUGAGGGA
rfam:Blumeria graminis f. sp. hordei DH14, WGS project CATH01000000 data, contig: 000344